AGGACGAACGCUGGCGGCGUGCUUAACACAUGCAAGUCGAACGGUAAGGCCCUUCGGGGUACACGAGUGGCGAACGGGUGAGUAACACGUGGGUGAUCUGCCCUGCACUUCGGGAUAAGCUUGGGAAACUGGGUCUAAUACCGGAUAUGACUACGAAUCGCAUGGUUUGUGGUGGAAAGCUUUUGCGGUGUGGGAUGGGCCCGCGGCCUAUCAGCUUGUUGGUGGGGUGAUGGCCUACCAAGGCGACGACGGGUAGCCGGCCUGAGAGGGUGUCCGGCCACACUGGGACUGAGAUACGGCCCAGACUCCUACGGGAGGCAGCAGUGGGGAAUAUUGCACAAUGGGCGCAAGCCUGAUGCAGCGACGCCGCGUGAGGGAUGACGGCCUCGGUUGUAAACCUCUUUCAGUAUCGACGAAGCGCAAGUGACGGUAGGUACAGAAGAAGGACCGGCCAACUACGUGCCAGCACGCCGCGGUAA
rnacentral:rRNA from 1 species